GAUGAACGCUGGCGGCGUGCCUAAUACAUGCAAGUCGAGCGGACGGACGCGACGCUUGCUUCUCUGAUGUUAGCGGCGGACGGGAGAGUAACACGUGGAUACCCUACCUAUAAUACUGGGAUAACUUCGGAAAACCGUAUCUUAUACCGGAUAAUAUUUUGAACCGCGUGGUUCAAAAGUGAAAGACGGUCUUGCUGUCACGUAUAGCUGGAUCCGCGCUGCAUUAGCUAGUUGUUACGGUAACGGCUUACCAAGGCAACGAUGCAUAGCCGACCUGAGAGGGGGAUCGGCCAGACGGGAAGUGAGACACGGUCCAGAGGACUACGGGAGGCAGCAGAAGGGAAUGGGACGCAAUGGGGGAAAGCCUGACGGAGUGACGGCGCGCGAGUGAUGGAGGUCUUCGGAUCGUAAAACUCGGUUAUGAGGGAAGAACAUAUGUGUAAGGAACUGUGCACAGCGUGACGGUACCUAAUCAGAAAGCCACGGCUAACUACGUG
rnacentral:rRNA from 1 species